UGGGGAAUAUUGCACAAUGGGGGAAACCCUGAUGCAGCGACGCCGCGUGAGCGAAGAAGGUUUUCGAAUCGUAAAGCUCUGUCCUAUGAGAAGAUAAUGACGGUAUCAUAGGAGGAAGCCCCGGCUAAAUACGUGCCAGCAGCCGCGGUAAUACGUAUGGGGCGAGCGUUGUCCGGAAUUAUUGGGCGUAAAGGGUACGUAGGCGGUCUAUUAAGUCAGGUGUGAAAGCGUGAGGCUUAACCUCAUUAAGCACUUGAAACUGAUAGACUUGAGUGAAGUAGAGGAAAGUGGAAUUCCUAGUGUAGCGGUGAAAUGCGUAGAUAUUAGGAGGAAUACCGGUGGCGAAGGCGACUUUCUGGACUUUUACUGACGCUCAGGUACGAAAGCGUGGGGAGCAAACAGG
rnacentral:rRNA from 1 species